AAUGGGGGAAACCCUGAUGCAGCGACGCCGCGUGAGCGAAGAAGUAUUUCGGUAUGUAAAGCUCUAUCAGCAGGGAAGAAAAUGACGGUACCUGACUAAGAAGCACCGGCUAAAUACGUGCCAGCAGCCGCGGUAAUACGUAUGGUGCAAGCGUUAUCCGGAUUUACUGGGUGUAAAGGGAGCGUAGACGGAUGGGCAAGUCUGAUGUGAAAACCCGGGGCUCAACCCCGGGACUGCAUUGGAAACUGUUCAUCUAGAGUGCUGGAGAGGUAAGUGGAAUUCCUAGUGUAGCGGUGAAAUGCGUAGAUAUUAGGAGGAACACCAGUGGCGAAGGCGGCUUACUGGACAGUAACUGACGUUGAGGCUCGAAAGCGUGGGGAGCAAA
rnacentral:rRNA from 1 species